rnacentral:rRNA from 1 species
UAGUAACGGCGAGUGAAGCGGCAACAGCUCAAAUUUGAAAUCUGGCCCUCGGGUCCGAGUUGUAAUUUGUAGAGGAUGCUUUUGGUGCGGUGCCUUCCGAGUUCCCUGGAACGGGACGCCAUAGAGGGUGAGAGCCCCGUCUGGUUGGACGCCAAUCCUCUGUAAAGCUCCUUCGACGAGUCGAGUAGUUUGGGAAUGCUGCUCUAAAUGGGAGGUAUAUGUCUUCUAAAGCUAAAUAUUGGCCAGAGACCGAUAGCGCACAAGUAGAGUGAUCGAAAGAUGAAAAGCACUUUGAAAAGAGAGUUAAAAAGUACGUGAAAUUGUUGAAAGGGAAGCGCUUAUGACCAGACUUGGGCUUGGUAGAUCAACUUGGGUUCUCCCUUGUGCACUCUUCCUCGUCCAGGCCAGCAUCAGUUCGCUGUGGGGGAUAAAGGUUUCGGGAAUGUGGCUCCCUCGGGAGUGUUAUAGCCCGUUGCGUAAUACCCUGUGGUGGACUGAGGUUCGCGUUCUGCAAGGAUGCUGGCGUAAUGGUCAUCAGCGACCCGUCUUGAAACACGGACCAAGGAGUCGUCUUCGUAUGCGAGUGUUCGGGUGUUAAACCCCUACGCGUAAUGAAAGUGAACGCAGGUGAGAGCUUCGGCGCAUCAUCGACCGAUCCUGAUGUUCUCGGAUGGAUUUGAGUAAGAGCAUACGGGGCCGGACCCGAAAGAAGGUGAACUAUGCCUGUAUAGGGUGAAGCCAGAGGAAACUCUGGUGGAGGCUCGCAGCGGUUCUGACGUGCAAAUCGAUCGUCAAAUAUGGGCAUGGGGGCGAAAGACUAAUCGA